UCUCGGGAGAAAGUAGAAAAUAAUACCCCAUAGGUCUAGGAUGCUGGAAUGCUUCUAGACUAAAAGUUCCGACGCCGAAGGAUGAGUCUGCGGCCUAUCAGGUUGUAGCAAGUGUAACGCACUUGUUAGCCUACAACGGGUACGGGCCAUGAGAGUGGUUGCCCGGAGAUGGACUCUGAGACAUGAGUCCAGGCCCUACGGGGCGCAGCAGGCGCGAAAACUUCGCAAUGUGCGCAAGCACGACGAGGGAAUCCUAAGUGCCUAUGCUUUGCAUAGGCUGUUCUUCUGUCUAAAAAACAGGGGGAGUAAGGGCUGGGUAAGACGGGUGCCAGCCGCCGCGGUAAUACCCGCAGCCCAAGUGGUGAUCGUUAUUAUUGGGUUUAAAAUGUCCGUAGCUGGUCUAGUAAAUUCCUGGGUAAAUCGAAUUGCUUAACAAUUCGAAUUCCGGGUAGACUGCUAGACUUGGGACCGGAAGAGGUCAGAAGUACUUCUGGGGUAGGGGUAAAAUCCUGUAAUCCUGGAGGGACUAUCAGUGGCGAAAUUUCGGAAGCAAAUCUUCCUCAUUUAUCGUUGCUUCCGCAACGCUAAGGCGUCUGACUAGAACGGAUCCGACAGUAAGGGACGAAGCCCUGGGGCGCAAACGGGAUUAGAUACCCCGGUAGUCCAGGGUGUAAACGCUGUAGGCUUGGUGUUGGGGGUCCUAUGAGGACAUCCAGUGCCGGAGAGAAAUUGUUAAGCCUACUACCUGGGGAGUACGGUCGCAAGACUGAAACUUAAAGGAAUUGGCGGGGGAGCACCGCAACGGGUGGAGCGUGCGGUUUAAUUGGAUUCAACGCCGGAAAUCUCACCGGGGGCGACGGUUAUAUGAAGGCCAGGCUAAUGACUUUGCCUAAUUUUC
rnacentral:rRNA from 1 species